rnacentral:rRNA from 1 species
GACGAACGCUGGCGGCGUGCUUAACACAUGCAAGUCGAACGGAAAGGCCCUGCUUUUGUGGGGUGCUCGAGUGGCGAACGGGUGCGUAACACGUGAGUAACCUGCUCUUGACUUUGGGAUAACUUCAGGAAACUGGGGCUAAUACCGGAUAGGAGCUCCUGCUGCAUGGUGGGGGUUGGAAAGUUUCGGCGGUUGGGGAUGGACUCGCGGCUUAUCAGCUAGUUGGUGGGGUAGUGGCUUACCAAGGCUUUGACGGGUCGCCGGCCUGAGAGGGUGACCGGCCACAUGGGUACUGAGAGACGGCCCAGUGGCCUACAUGAGACAGCAGGGGGGAGUAUUGCACAAUGGUCGGAAGCCUGAUGCAGCAACGUCGCGGUCGUGAUGACGGCCUUCGGGGUAUAAACCGCUUUCGCCUGUGACGAAGCGGGAGUGACGGUAAUGAGUAAAGAAGCACCGGCUAACUACGUG